rnacentral:precursor_RNA from 14 species
AUGUUACACGUGGUUGGAGGUGGGCCUGACAUCCUGAGUGUGUGUGGUGAACCUGAACUUGCCCUGGGUUUCCUCAGAUACAUUCAGGAGUGUCAGCUGCCUCUUCACUCAAUGGAGAAAGUG